rnacentral:lncRNA from 1 species
UUACUACAUUGUCCUCUCUGCUGCCAUCCUGGAAUCAUCCAUGUGGGUAACUGCUUCGGAGAUAGAGGCCCACUCACCUUGUGUGGACAGCUCUCAGUUCUGCCCAGUAGGAGGUGCUGCAGCGACAGAAGGCCAUUUCUUCUGCUGAAUUUUGAGCUUGGGCUUACCACUUGUGUUCGGAGUCUGGGCCCGAGGAGUGACAGGUUAACAUUCAGCUCAGAGUUCCAGGAGUGCCUUCAUCGAUGACCCAAAGGCCCAGGGAUGUUUCCACAGCUUACAGAGGUCCACUCAGCAUCAAGUCAGCGGCAGAGCUGAUGGGUACAGCAACCAGUCACCUGGAGCAAACCUGUUAGUGAGGACGGCUGGCCAGCUUAGCCCUCCUGAGCUCCGAAGAGAUCCCCCAGUCCCAGCCCCUGGAUUUGCCAGAGUGAACCCAAGCCCAGUCAGUUUUGCCUUUCUGGGUAUCUCCGGUACAGUGCCUGGCAUGCAGGGGACCAGAGAGCUGAAGGAAAGCUGGCUUUUCUGAAAGUUGCUGCAGUGAGAAGACAUUUAUCAUAUUGAACAAAGACUGAAGAAACUGUAGAAUUAGCAGAAACAUUAGA